rnacentral:rRNA from 1 species
AGAAGAGUGGCGAACGGGUGAGGAACACGUAAGAAUCUGCCCCUCGGUCGGGGACAACUUUUGGAAACGAAAGCUAAUACCCGAUACGCUGUGGAGUGAAAGAAUUUCGCCGAGGGAUGAUCUUGCGUCUGAUUAGCUAGUUGGUGCGGUAAUGGCGCACCAAGGCGACGAUCAGUAGCUGGUCUGAGAGGAUGAACAGCCACAUUGGAACUGAGACACGGUCCAAACUCC